rnacentral:lncRNA from 1 species
CCAUAUUUCCUUACCUGUAAAUUGAAAGCACUUUACAAAAUGAUUUCCGAAUUCCCUUCAUCUAACCUAUUACAUAUUUUUCAAGAAGAAAGGAAUCAAGGGGCUUAAUGUAUCAAAAGAGAAUUAGCAUAUGAUAUUGCACCAGGGCAAGUAAAAAUCCCUACUUUUUCAGUUCUCAGUUUUUAGAAAUUCAUGUUUUAUCAAUUUUUGAAUCAGUUAUUUCUCCAGUGGGGCCCAGAAAUAAGUCAUAUUUUAUCCUCCUCAAAGAUGUAGAGCAAAAAGAUAAAGGUAAAGUGAGGAGAGGGAAAAACUAGAGCCUGGUAAUUGACCCAGCCACUAAAGUGACAAAGAUCUAGAGCCUAAGAUGUUCAGCAAACUCUGCUCUCAAGUCCAGUAAAGAGCUGGCAUGAUGGAUCCAAGGUAAAUAAUACAGGCACAGUGGGCAGGUGAUAGGAGGUUGGCAACAAGAAUAGUGCUGAGCGGUGCUCAGAAAUCCAGGCAGUACCAGCAUUAGAGAAAUCUGUCCCCAAGAAGCAGGGACCAGUCUUGGGAGGGGUUCUGGGAAACUCCUCUUAUUAGUAAAACAUGAUUUAGAAAGUGUAAGAUAAAUACAUUAAUCUAAAAGAAAUGUAUGUUUUUAAAUUUCUUAGAAUGCAAACUAAAGCCUUUGCCAAGCAAAAGGACUCAUCAGUGUUUACUAGCAAUCCCUCAGGGUCCAAGAAGAGAGAAGCCCAGGCUGCCACUUAGAGAAAAAGAAAGAAGGCCAAAUGCAACGAGAAGAACAAGGAAAGAGAAACAAUAUGCGUCAUUGGAAAAUUGACAAAACAAUGAAUCUCCCCCAAAUUUAACAAGAUGAACAAAGUGGAAGAGGUGUCAAAGACAGUAAGGUGCAGUUGGGUUAUGAGGAAGAGUUACGACAAGAAUCUAAUCCUUGCAGAAAAAAGAUGGACAUCUCCAGAGUGCAUCUUGAUGUGUACACCCUUGGGUAUAAAACUAGAAUUAGCAAAACUGCAAGCAUGCUAGAGAUGAGAGCUUCAGUUAUGCCAAUUUGGAUCUAAUAAGCAGAAGAAAGAGAGUUAAAUAUGGCAUCAUAUAGAUAAACCAUAUUUGCAAGAGCAGGUGACCUCCUGUAAGGAGAGAAGAGAAAUUUUGAAUGAUAAGCAGACCUCCAGCUCUUGAAGUCUCUUGACUGGGGAAAAGUAAAGACCAGGAAUAUUUGCUUAUAAAAAUGCAAGGACAUAAGGAAGAUGUGUACAAUCUUGGAAUAUGGCUCUAGGCCAUACUCCUCAAAUCACUGGUACAGGAAAUCAAUUUCACUUAUUCAAAGAUGGGUGAUCAAAACGAAGCCAUCAGAAAAUCUUUUUUAAAAGGACACUAUAAGAAUAUUGGGAGAAAAGAAUAAGAAAAACAAAGACAGAUGAAGAACACUCACCACAAAAAUAUUGCCAUAGAGCAAAUGAAAAAUAUGACAAAAUAUGUUGCUUUGAAUGUAAAACACUGGCUGAAACAGUACCUCUGUAAAGCAAAUGCAUAACACCAAGGUCAAAGAGACUAGUUAACCAUAGGAGGCAGCGAAGCGUAAGAGAGAGAAGGAGAGACAAAAGGCAGAAAACAUCAAUAUGAAGAAUGGAAAUGGGAACACAAUAUGGAUCCUACAGACAUCAAAAAGAUAAGAAAAUAUCAACUUUUAUCCAUAAAUUUGAAAUUUUACAUAGAAUAUUUCUAGAAAAACACAAAUAGCAAAACUGACACAAGAAGAAAUUGAAUAUAUAAAUAAUCCUGUAAGUAGUAAAAAAUUCAAUCUGUAGUUAAAAGCCUUCCCACAAAAAUAAUCUCCGGGUAUGUAUAGCCUAUUUAAGAAUUCUACCAAACAUUUAAGAGAGAGACAGUACACUCCUUAUACACACUCGGAGAAUAGAAAAGUAGGAAAACUUUUCCAACUCCUUUUAUGAGACCAGAGACAUCUUAAUACCAAAGAUUUAUAUAAAAGGAAAAACACCAGUCAGUCUCUCAGGAACAUAAAUUCAAAAUCUUAAACAAAAUAUUAACAAGACAAACCCAGCAAAAUACAAAGAAUGUAAUCUUUCAGGAUAAAAUUGGGUUUAUUCCAGGAAUGUGAGCAUGAUUUAACAUGAAUAAUUAAUCAAUGUAAUUCACUACAUUAACAGAAUGUAGUAGAGUGUGUAAUUGCCUCAACUCGUCACCUCUGUUUGUAUCCAUGCCCUUUGUCAUUUAAAUUUUUGUUCCCUAUCACCACAUUUGAAAUGUAUUUCCCUUCUCUUUGAUUUUGAGCUCAGCUACGUGAUUUUUCUGGCCAAAGAGUGCAGGGAACUAGAUUUUGAGAGAGGGAUAAAGAGAGAAUGAACAAUUCUAGUUUACUCUUUAUCUGCUUUUCAGGACUGAUAAUGAUAAAGGUAAUUCAUAUAUGGAGACCCACAAAAUGGAGGCCAUCCGAGUGGCCAAGCCCACAUCACAAAUCUUAACCAAGUCAGACUGCACUUAUGGGAAACACCUCACUGACAAGAAAACCUAACACACACCAAUCACAAUCCUCCAACUCAGUUUUAGCUAGUUGACCUGACCCCGUCUCUUAGCCAAUCAUGCCGUCUUUCUCAUUGCCUCUCUAAUGCUCUGUAAAAGUCGCUUUCAUCGAAAAUCUCUGGGGAAGAGUGUGCCACUGCUUGUGAGGCAUCGUACUUCCCCAAUCCAUGGAUUGUUUUUCCUUAAUUAAAGGACAUCAAACUCGUUACUGAAUUGUUUUAAUUCUGUCAUUUGACAAUAGCAAAUGAGGCUAUGCUUUUACUUCCUCUGAUCUGUACUAGUAACUAGAAUGCAACAGGUCCUCACAGAUAGCAAAUGUAUUGUUGACUUGGUUACCUUCUUACACAGCAAUUAAUAAAAUGCUUAUUCACUGAAUGUUUAGAUUUCUA